AUGAAUCUCUUAUCUCCCGCUAUUGGGGAUCCUAUUUGCGUACCGACCCAAAACAUGCUUAUCGGGCUUUAUGUAUUAACGGUUGGAAAGCGUCGAGGUAUUUGUGCAAAUAGAUAUAAUAGUUGCAGAAACUACCCAAAUCUAAAAGUAAAUUACAAUAAUAAUAAUAAUAAUUCUAAAUAUAGGAAAGAUAAAGAACCCCAUUUUUCUAGUUCUUAUGAUGCACUGGGAGCUUAUAGACAAAAACUAAUCAGUUUAGAUAGUCCCUUGUGGCUAUGA
rnacentral:rRNA from 1 species